UCCCUGACCACCCGGAGACAGUCCGGGUUUUACCUGCCUGGGGGACUGCUCACACAGAUGUACUAAUUAAGUCAGCAGCCCUGACCCAGGAGCUCUCUCUCUGGCAGUCUGUUUGAGAAGCUGCAAGCCUAGGAGCUCUGAGAGCGGUUGGCUUCUCCACCUAACUACUGAACUCACUCACAAUGGCA